CCUACGGGUGGCAGCAGUGGGGAAUAUUGGGCAAUGGGCGCAAGCCUGACCCAGCAACGCCGCGUGAAGGAAGAAGGCCCUCGGGUUGUAAACUUCCUUUGUUCGGGACGCAGAAAGUGACGGUACUUGCCGAAUAAGCCACGGCUAACUACGUGCCAGCAGCCGCGGUAAUACGGAGGUGGCAAGCGUUAUCCGGAUUUACUGGGUGUAAAGGGCGUGUAGGCGGGAUUGCAAGUCAGAUGUGAAAUUCCAGGGCUCAACCCUGGGCCUGCAUUUGAAACUGGAGUUCUGGAGUGAGGGAGAGGCAGGCGGAAUGCGGUGUGUAGCGGUGAAAUGCGUAGAUAUACGGAGGAACACCGGUGGCGAAGGCGGCGUGCUGGACAUUAACUGACGCUGAGGCGCGAAAGCGUGGGGAGCAAACAGGAUUAGAUACCCCAGUAGUC
rnacentral:rRNA from 1 species